rnacentral:sRNA from 12 species
GAGCUUUGAAGCAAAUGCUAAGUCAAGGUAGUGUUUGUGGAGUUCUGCCAAGGGUUAUAUGUAUACCUCAACUUGAAUAGGCGUAAGCCGAAAGAAAACAUUUAAA